UAGCCGUAAACGAUACUCGCUAGGUGUCGGCCACGGUGCGACCGUUGUCGGUGCCGUAGGGAAGCCGUGAAGCGAGCCACCUGGGAAGUACGGCCGCAAGGCUGAAACUUAAAGGAAUUGGCGGGGGAGCACCACAACGGGUGGAGCUUGCGGUUUAAUUGGAUUCAACGCCGGAAAUCUUACCGGGACCGACAGCAACAUGAAGGUCAGGCUGAAGACUUUGCCGGAUUAGCUGAGAGGUGGUGCAUGGCGUAGUCGUGU
rnacentral:rRNA from 1 species